UACGUAGGUGGCGAGCGUUGUCCGGAUUUACUGGGCGUAAAGAGCGCGCAGGCGGCUGGUCAAGUCCGAUGUGAAAGCUCCCGGCUUAACUGGGAAAUUGCAUCGGAAACUGAUCGGCUGGAAGGUGGGAGAGGGUAGCGGAAUUCCCGGUGUAGUGGUGAAAUGCGUAGAUAUCGGGAGGAACACCAGUGGCGAAAGCGGCCUGCUGGGCAGUAGCUGACACUGAGGCGCGACAGCGUGGGGAGCAAACAGG
rnacentral:rRNA from 1 species